rnacentral:rRNA from 1 species
GACGAACGCUGGCGGCGUGCUUAACACAUGCAAGUCGAACGGAAAGGCCCAGCUUGCUGGGUACUCGAGUGGCGAACGGGUGAGUAACACGUGGGUGAUCUGCCCCUGACUUUGGGAUAAGCCUGGGAAACUGGGUCUAAUACCGGAUAUGACCUUACAUCGCAUGGUGUUUGGUGGAAAGCUUUUGCGGUUGGGGAUGGGCCCGCGGCCUAUCAGCUUGUUGGUGGGGUAAUGGCCUACCAAGGCGACGACGGGUAGCCGACCUGAGGGGGUGAUCGGCCACACUGGGACUGAGACACGGCCCAGACUCCUACGGGAGGCAGCAGUGGGGAAUAUUGCACAAUGGGCGCAAGCCUGAUGCAGCGACGCCGCGUGAGGGAUGACGGCCUUCGGGUUGUAAACCUCUUUCACCAGGGACGAAGCGUGAGUGACGGUACCUGGAGAAGAAGCACCGGCCAACUACGUG